GACGAACGCUGGCGGCGUGCCUAAUACAUGCAAGUUGAGCGAUGAAGAUUGGUGCUUGCACCAAUUUGAAGAGCAGCGAACGGGUGAGUAACGCGUGGGGAAUCUGCCUUUGAGCGGGGGACAACAUUUGGAAACGAAUGCUAAUACCGCAUAACAACUUUAAACAUAAGUUUUAAGUUUGAAAGAUGCAAUUGCAUCACUCAAAGAUGAUCCCGCGUUGUAUUAGCUAGUUGGUGAGGUAAAGGCUCACCAAGGCGAUGAUACAUAGCCGACCUGAGAGGGUGAUCGGCCACAUUGUGACUGAGACACGCCCCAAACUCCCACGGGAGGCAGCAGUAGGGAAUCUUCGGCAAUGGACGAAAGUCUGGCCGAGCAACGCCGCGUGAGUGAAGAAGGUUUUCGGAUCGUAAAACUCUGUUUGUAUAGAAGAGCGUUUGUGAGAGUGGAAAGCUCAUCAAGUGACGGUAACUACCCAGAAAGGGACGGCUAACUACGUG
rnacentral:rRNA from 1 species